rnacentral:rRNA from 1 species
AAGCGCUGAAAGCAUCUAAGCGCGAAGCCAACUUCAAGAUAAGAUUUCCCACCGCAAGGGUAAGACCCCAGAAAGACUAUCUGGUUGAUAGGUCGAAGGUGUAAGUGCAGCAAUGUAUUUAGCUUAUCGAUACUAAUAGGUCGAGGACUUGACCAA